rnacentral:rRNA from 1 species
GAUGAACGCUGGCGGCGUGCCUAAUACAUGCAAGUCGAGCGAACAGACGAGGAGCUUGUUGCUCUGACGUUAGGGGCGGACGGGUGAGUAACACGUGGAUAACCUACCUAUCAGACUGGGAUAACCUCGGGAAACCGGAGCUAAUACCGGAUAAUAUAUUGCAGCGCAUUGUUGGAUAGUGAAAGACGGUUGUGUUGUGGGGUGUAGCUGGUGUCGCGCCUCAUUAGCUUGUGGGUGGGGUAGUGGCUUACCAAGGCGUCGACGGGUAGCCGGCCUGAGAGGGUGACCGGCCACAUUGGGACUGAGAGACGGCCCAGACUCCUACGGGAGGCAGCAGUGGGGAAUAUUGCACAAUGGGCGGAAGCCUGAUGCAGAAACGCCGCGUGCGGGAUGACGGCCUUCGGGUUGUAAACCGCUUUCGCCUGUGACGAAGCGUGAGUGACGGUAAUGGGUAAAGAAGCACCGGCUAACUACGUG